UGGUGAUGAUGUUCCCUCCAGACCAUGAGAGGUGUCUCAGCUUAAGGCUUAUGGGCUGCAAGUUCCUUGAAGCAUCCUUCUUGUUUCCUUGAAGUAUCCUUCUUUCUCAAUGCUCAUAGUUAAAUUCACACCUAAGCCUGUUCUGUAAUUUAUGGCAAUAGCCUCUUCUCUCCCCCUUGGAUAUUCCUGUGCUCAGUUAUAUCUUUGCCACCAAAGACACAACUUCCUUAAUCUUUCUUCCUCUUUCAUUAAAUUCGCAGCUUUGGUAGAUAUUGUGGAAUCUGGCCCUGUUUUCCACCCUGCAGACUUGCAAGGCAGCAACAUCAUUUAAGCACCAUAUGGUUCUCGACAAAGUCAGGUUUCACAUCCAACCUAAACAAUUUAAUAUUAUCAAAAGCCCAAGCUCAGUGCAGCAAUAACAACCCCUGCUUCCUCUCCCUGCAUUGUAUAACAAGAGGAAGAAAGCUCUCAAACCAAGCACUCUGCUAUGAUCUUGAACAGGGAUGGCAGGGCUGGGGAAAAGCCUUUGUAGCACCCUCAUUAUGUUCACAGGACAACGAGCAUCCACCUGGACCACAAAGGAAGUACAAACCCAGGGGCUCGGAUUCCAGUCCCCACUGAAUUUGAUGCACGCAAAUAUUUUCUGGCAGAGUUAAUGAAUUCAGCAUGAGGACAUGCUGGGUGGGGACAGGGAAGCUGGACUGAGUAUUCAUUCCUCAAGCCACACUGGUGAUACAGUGAUUAGAAAAGACCGAGGCUUCAACUUCCUUGCUUAAUAGACUAAGAGGUCUCUGUAGAUGAUGAGUAAUGCUGCAUGGAGCCAAAAUGGAACAGGAACCCUGAGACGGCUUUUGCUGCAGUACCUUGUAGCAAUCAGAAAUUAUUAUCCUUGUUGUGCUAUGAUGCUAUCAGUUGGCUGUGGACUUUGCAUUGAGUCACAGCACUCAGCAUCCCAACAGGUCACAGACACUUGCAUUGCAUCUGAGGAACUGCAAUUACGUGGCUGUGCUUGCAUCCAGUGGGAUCUCCAUCGAGAUCGGUACCAUGAGGGCUCUUGCUAUUCCCUCAGCCAAGAACAGGGCUUGCCUGGCCAUGGGGAUGCUCAGCCCAGGAGCUGAGUGUCCAGGUCAUGUGCCGGCAUCUCGGUACAAAAUACAUCCUGGUGAAGGGAUGGGAGGGAGACAUGUAGACCCGUCAGGUGCCAUGUGUAGGUCUGUUCCAUUUGCUUGUUGGGAGCAUAGCUUUCUCCUCUUCAUAGGAGAAUAAGAAGAAAGAAUAAAUGCUGGUUUGAUGUAAAAAAAAAUAUCCAGUUACAGAUUAAUUAGCAUUUUAAAGAGCUGUGGGUGCUUUUUAGAAGAGAGAGAAAUGUAGCUACCAGACCAGAUUCAGACAGAAGUGAUGAUCUACAAGUGUUUUCUCAGUAACUGGAGGGCAAACAUGUUGUUAGAGAUGUUAGCAGUGGGGUGUCUGCUAUCUGGGACUAAAUAAAUUAUGUCUGCAAGCUGAUGCUCCUUGUGAAGAGACAAAAGCACCCAGAUGUAGCAUUUCCUACCAAGAUGCAACGUAGGAUUUGCCGGGGAGAGGUUGUGUUCAGGUGAGAUACAGCUCCUUAGCAAGAAAAGGAUUACCCGUGCAGAUUACAAUCAGUUAACAAAACAGUCCUUUCUUACAAGGGCCUAACCCUGAUAUAGCAGGACAGGCACCGAGAAAUAAGAUGCAGGGGAUGUUUUCUGUAUUCUCUUUGUUGGAGUAUGUGGAUUGAAUAUGGGUUUUGUGAUCUCAGCAUCUCCAUGUUGAUAUUGGGAAGGGCUCCCUGAGGAAAUGGUGGAGAGCUUUUGGAGAAGACGUGAAGUCAAAACAGAUUGCUACAGCCUGCAAAAAACGUAGCUCAUUCAUAACAAAAUGCAAAAUUCGGCCUCUGGGAUGCAGGAGAAAAUCAAUAAAAAGUUCUUAAUUCUGCUUGCUCAGCAUCAAUGUUUGUUUACUUUCUGCUGUGGAAAAAGGACUAACGAAUGUUACUUUAAAUGCAGCUAAUUAGGUGUGGUCUUUCGAAAAAUUCAUAUUGUGCCUUGAUGAAAUCUUCAUACUGCCAACAAUAAAUCUGGUUGGACUAUAUCAGGAAUAUGUUGCUAUCACAUGGUUUACCAGCAAUGUUUUUGUUAGUUGUAGCCUUUUGGCUGGAAAGCAGAAGGGACCUUUUACCCUGAAAACAACCACGGUCCUGUAACCCCAGCUGAACAGAUCUGCUACUGAUGUGCAACAGCACUGCUGAAGCCUUAGGAAAUGCAGUAUCGGAUGAUGAAAAGGAGCUGGUUGCCACACCAGAUCCUGCCUUCCCCUCUGCCUUUGGCAGCUACAAAGAGGCAGGCACAGGGAAUAACGUUUUUGCACUGGGCUGUGUUUGUGUUUGUGGUGAAAACGGAAACCGGUGAAGUUCAGUUGAGCUGGAGGAUAGUCCUGCUAAAUGCUUGGAUUCAGAAUCAGCAGAGAGUGCUGAAGACCAGAAACAUUCCUGCCCUGGAAAAAAGCAACAUUCACUGUGCUUCAGUGGCUGAGAAUCCUGCCCAUGCUCAUGAACAUCUGCAAGACCUGAGAUAAAACAGGAGCUGCAGUAUGCUGCCGGCACAUGAGAAUAGCAUCGAAAAUACUUUGGAAAAAAAAUAUUUAGAAAUAAAGAACUUUGAAGAUCUUGGUUGGUGAAGAUCUUCCAGCUCAAUCAGGUUUGAAAUCCAGUUAGAAUCAUAGAAUGUCCUGAGCUGGAAGGGACCCACAAGGAUCAUCGGUUCCAACUCCUGUCCCUGCACAGGACAACCCCACAGUUCACACCGUGUGUCUGAGGACGUUGUCCAGACUCUUCUUGAACACUGUCAGGCUUGGGGCUGUGACACCUCCCUGGGGAACCUGUUCCAGUGUCCAGCACGCUCUGCGUGAAGAACCUUUUCCUCAUGUCCAACCUAAUCCUCCCCUGGCACAUCUUCCUGCCAUUCCCUUGGUUUCUGUCACUGGUCACUAAAAAGAAGAGAUCAACGGCUGCCCUUCUGUGUUCUGUGUUAUUUCAACAUCUGGCACAGCAAGAAAGAAGUACCCAGGUUGCUAGUGGUGGGAAGGAGCAAAAUAAAAAUAAAACCCUUUGAAACUUCUGGAGAAAACACCAUCCCCCCUAAAUUCAAUGGCAAAACCUUCACAGAUCUCAUUAUAGCCAGAUUUUCAUCAGCCUUCGAUUUUAGUGGAGCUGCCCACAUGCUUACAGCAGUGUCUUAACAAGCUUUUGCAAACUUGGAGCCUUAACUCAUGGUCCCAGCUGCUGGAGGUGGGAAAGAUAUAUUAGUGCAGCUUUUUGCCAUGUGGAAGACUGUUCUCUACAUGACAUUAAUUGCUCUCUGCCUAGCUUAAUAAGAGUCUGCUUUCAGCAGCCGAAUAUAACCGUGUAAUCGGAAGAAUUUCUGUUUAUUGUUAAAAUGUUUUCAUGCCUAGAAAAUGAGGACUUCUGGAGUGUGUCUGAUGGGAACACGAUAUGGGCGUUAGAAACAAGCGCAAAUGUCUGGAGUGCUGAGCUGUGAUUUGCUCUGCAGCUACCCCAUGCCCUGCUCUGCGAUCAGCUGCUGCUGAUGUAGAAUUUAAUUUCAGAUUAAGGAGCCUAAGGCAACAAGGACUUUUCAUUAUAAGUGAGGAAAUAGCGUGCCAGUUAUGCUGCCUGCUUGCAUGUGCUUUGUGUGUGUGAGCACACAAGCAUAACCAUCCAUCAUGAUGGGAAAUGAUGAGCAGCUGGGACGUGUCCUCAGCACAUGCAUAAGUCCUGCAGUGAGGGUGAUUUGUCAGACAUGUUACUGCUUUCCCACAGCAGGAAUGGCACAGAAAUGGCAUCAGUAACGUCCUUCUUCCCAGGAUAAUCCCAUGCCAGCUGUCCACAUCACCCCCCACACCUACUGUCACGGCAUGCCGUGCAAGGAAGGAAAGGACAGUCCGUCCUUCGGAGUAGCAGCUUUAGGAUGCUGUCAGCUUUGGCCAUGACUCUGGCACCCAGCAUGCCCUCUGGUCCUCUUCCCCCCAGGAGGUUGACGAUGUGUUUUGCACAGGGAGAGGGCUUCAGGGCAGUAGCAUAUCAUUCUAGAGAGGGACUUUCUCCAGGAACCAUAUCACAGGUGCCUUCACAUCUUGCAAGGAGCUGUGCUGGAGAAAGCUGAGCUCAACAAAAGACACCUUGCCCUCCCCCCUAAAACUCUACUGCUUAUGUUUUUAAAUUGGGCAGCACGUUCUCAGCCAAAUUAACUGGUGCUCAGCUGGUUCAUCUUGCCUAAACACUCCCACAUCCCAAGCCCCAGACUAGGGUCCACUGGGUCUCACCUGGAUCUAAUUAGCGCUGGAAGAAAAUGAAAACAAUACGUUUGAGAAGCUGUGUCAGAAACAGGCAGUUUUCAAAGGUUCUUUUUGCCUAGGGGCGUUCAGUGAAGAAGGCCACCAUGCUGGAACAUCAGGCUGUGUGUCAGCGGACACAUCUGCAGCGUGUCCCCACUCUAAGCAUCACAAUGAGUGGUUCCUACAGCACUUGGUGGCUGAGCUGCAGUGGCGGCAAGGACCUGUUUGAGAAGAGUUUGGGUGUAAAUCAAGUGUUUCCCAGAGACCUGAGAGACACCAGCAAAAGUCCUGGCGCUGCUUCCACCCUGCAGGGAGGGUAAAAGUGGAGGUCGCGUCCCGAAGGGCCGGUGCUGAGUUAUCAGGAGGGGGAGCUCUGACCACACAACCCAGCUACAAGUCCCGGAUUUCUGCCCGUAUUUUCAGUUCCUGCUGGUCUGUAUUGGCUUGUGCACUAGUGCAUUAGUGCCCACUCCCAUCUCACUCUGAUUUAUACACCUGCAAUAAAGAUCUUUGCAUCACCGUCAUUCAUUCAUGGAAAUGAGAUCCCCCACUAUGGCACUUCUGGGGUUCCCCAGGAGACAUCGCAGAAUAUGGUACCUGGUAGGGGGACCUUUCCCUGUCACAGCACAAAGCAUCAGUCCCUGUGGCCCUCUCUGUGUUUAUGGUGUACUGGUGAAGCUUUUCAUAAGCAGUUGUUCUUGAUGGAAGUUUUUAACACUUUGCAUCUGUAAUGCUGAACAAAAUGUGUCUUGCAGAAUGCUUUUGAGAAAAAAAAAAAUAAAAUCCAGUCGUUUAAGUUCUUAUAAAAAGACUGCAAUGAAUAUAGAAGCUUUUUUUAAAUGC